UGGAAAACUAAGAACUCACUGAUCCUUAAUAUUCUUUCAUGAUGUAUGAUUAGGGUGUGUACAAAGAGUUAUGGAUAUGUGCUAGAACUGUGUUCUUAAAAUGUAUCUGGCAAGUGAUGCAUAAGCACAGUCAGCCGUAGACAAGGCAUUUGUGCCUGGUCAUCAGUCAAAGACAAUGAAGAUACAUUUACAUAAAAGAUCCAGAGAUCUGAAGGCGAGAAGGGGCCACUAGGAUCACAGGUUUCUUAUUGAAAAGGUGAUUUAAAAGGGAACUUCUUACUCUAUCAGCAGAUCAUUUUUGUUUUUAAAAUCAUAAGAAAAACCGUCGAAUAGAGGAGAAAAUAAAAGGAAAAAUCUGGCUUCAAUUGUCAUGUAGCUUACAGGAUAGAGAA